rnacentral:lncRNA from 1 species
UAUUCUAAAGAACUUUCCUUUGGCUCUUCCACUUUCGCUCUCAGAUGGUCAGUGUCUUAUUUCCCUGCGGCGUGUUUGAAGCCAGACGUCAAAGACAAAUCUGUUUGACCUUUUCAAAAGAAGUGCCACCAAGAUUUCGAUGAAGGGUAUGAAGCUGAUGCAGUCAUCUGGGAAAACUGACAUCGUACCAGGUGACAGUUUAGAGAUGUAACUGCGACUGUGUUUUGAGGACUGUAUACAAUUCCUUUGACAACUGGGGAAGCUUCUGGAAUACUGCGAAGGUGGGUUAAAAAAAAAAAUCAUGCUUAUUCCACAUAGUUUUUCUUCCUUAAGGCUUUUUCUCUCCUUCCUCGGUGUCGCAAUUCUGCCAAACAUCUAAAGUUUUACAUGCUCAUAAUGCAGAUAUCUGUAGGAUUUUUAUUUGUUAUUUGUUUUCCAGGUCUGUUUCAUCUGUAAGAGGGUACGACAAACUUGUAGAGGGAGGUC